GAACACACCAUCAGCAAACGGAGAACAAGAAGUCAGACUCCGUGGAGAAGAAGACUUCAGAGUAUUGUUCUUCAGACUAUCAGAGUCCAACAGGUGUUUGUUGUCUUGACGAUGGUGAGCGCUAUCCUGAGGAUGAUGGGAAAUCGUUCUGCUUCGACUUUGACUCGUCCAAAAGAAAUCCUGAAAGAGACAAAGAAGAUGAUUUACAGCAAACCUCCGAAGAACAAGAUCGGAGCCGCACAAAGCUUCUUCGUUAUGUCGGUGUUUGCGGCGGCCAUGUUGACGCCAGCUGCCUGGAUCCUUCAUCACCUGCCGGAGUACCGCCAGCGGUCCAAACAGAGACCCAGAGACUGAUCUUCAUCCUCCUCCUCUUCAUCAACACAUCAAUAUAUCAGAUAUAUGUUUCUUAAUUCAUCUGUAAUAUUGUUCUUUAAUCAGUUAAAGUUAAAUCAUGUUUAAUCUAAUUAUUGUCCAGAGUUAACUAAGAUGUUCUUCUGUUGUAAAUGCCCUUCAGUAAGGAAGUCAAGUUUAUUUGUAGAUCACUUAUUCCAGACAAAGUCACAAAGUGCUUCAAAGGCCAACUUACAUUUGUUUAAGGGCUAUGUUUCCAGGGUUUAAAGCUCCAGUGGUGUCUGAGACUGGACGUACUCAGGUAGUAACUCACCGUACUCUGGUAGUAACUCACCAUACUCAGGUAGUAACUCACCAAGAUACUCUGGUAGUAACUCACCGUACUCUGGUAGUAACUCACCAAGAUA